rnacentral:tRNA from 1 species
GGCUUAGCUCAGUUGGUAGAGCACUUGAUUUGUAAUCAAGGGGUCACAGGUUCGAGUCCUGUAGCCGG